UGGGGAACAUUGCACAAUGGGCGCAAGCCUGAUGCAGCCAUGCCGCGUGUAUGAAGAAGGCCUUCGGGUUGUAAAGUACUUUCAGCGGGGAGGAAGGUGUUGUGGUUAAUAACCACAGCAAUUGACGUUACCCGCAGAAGAAGCACCGGCUAACUCCGUGCCAGCAGCCGCGGUAAUACGGAGGGUGCAAGCGUUAAUCGGAAUUACUGGGCGUAAAGCGCACGCAGGCGGUCUGUCAAGUCGGAUGUGAAAUCCCCGGGCUCAACCUGGGAACUGCAUCCGAAACUGGCAGGCUUGAGUCUUGUAGAGGGGGGUAGAAUUCCAGGUGUAGCGGUGAAAUGCGUAGAGAUCUGGAGGAAUACCGGUGGCGAAGGCGGCCCCCUGGACAAAGACUGACGCUCAGGUGCGAAAGCGUGGGGAGCAAACA
rnacentral:rRNA from 1 species